rnacentral:rRNA from 1 species
CUGGGCACUGGCUUGUUCGGCUACAUCGAUCAAACCAUUGAGGAGCCUCCCAAAACAAUCUCUACCAAAGACAAAGAUGGCAAGGAUCAGGUAAUUCCCAAUCCUGCCUACAACCCCUGGUUAGUCCAAGAUCAAGAAAUCGUAGCGUAUCUUCUCCGCAAUAUGUCCAAGGAGGUGCUGGUUCAAGUUGCCUCGCUUGAGUGAUCACAUGUGAUCUGGACUGCGUUGGCAAACAUGUUCUCUGCAGUUUCGUUGUCUCGAGUGAACAACAUCAGAUCAGCCCUCACAAAUGCCCAGAGGGGUCAGUCGGCCUCCGCCUACUUCGGGCAGAUGCGC